rnacentral:rRNA from 1 species
GGGUUGUGAGGUUAAGCGACUAAGCGUACACGGUGGAUGCCCUGGCAGUCAGAGGCGAUGAAGGGCGUGCUAAUCUGCGAUAAGCGCCGGUAAGGUGAUAUGAACCGUUAUAACCGGCGAUACCCGAAUGGGGAAACCCAGUGUGAUUCGUCACACUAUCAUUAACUGAAUCCAUAGGUUAAUGAGGCGAACCGGGGGAACUGAAACAUCUAAGUACCCCGAGGAAAAGAAAUCAACCGAGAUUCCCCCAGUAGCGGCGAGCGAACGGGGAGGAGCCCAGAGCCUGAAUCAGCAUGUGUGUUAGUGGAAGCGUCUGGAAAGGCGCGCGAUACAGGGUGACAGCCCCGUACACAAAAGCGCAUGUGCUGUGAGCUCGAUGAGUAGGGCGGGACACGUGGUAUCCUGUCUGAAUAUGGGGGGACCAUCCUCCAAGGCUAAAUACUCCUGACUGACCGAUAGUGAACCAGUACCGUGAGGGAAAGGCGAAAAGAACCCCGGCGAGGGGAGUGAAAAAGAACCUGAAACCGUGUACGUACAAGCAGUGGGAGCACAGGUUUACCUGUGUGACUGCGUACCUUUUGUAUAAUGGGUCAGCGACUUAUAUUCUGUAGCAAGGUUAACCGAAUAGGGGAGCCGGAGGGAAACCGAGUCUUAAUUGGGCGUUAAGUUGCAGGGUAUAGACCCGAAACCCGGUGAUCUAGCCAUGGGCAGGUUGAAGGUUGGGUAACACUAACUGGAGGACCGAACCGACUAAUGUUGAAAAAUUAGCGGAUGACCUGUGGCUGGGGGUGAAAGGCCAAUCAAACCGGGAGAUAGCUGGUUCUCCCCGAAAGCUAUUUAGGUAGCGCCUCGUGAAUUCAUCUCCGGGGGUAGAGCACUGUUUCGGCUAGGGGGCCAUCCCGGCUUACCAACCCGAUGCAAACUGCGAAUACCGGAGAAUGUUAUCACGGGAGACACACGGCGGGUGCUAACGUCCGUCGUGAAGAGGGAAACAACCCAGACCGCCAGCUAAGGUCCCAAAGUCAUGGUUAAGUGGGAAACGAUGUGGGAAGGCCCAGACAGCCAGGAUGUUGGCUUAGAAGCAGCCAUCAUUUAAAGAAAGCGUAAUAGCUCACUGGUCGAGUCGGCCUGCGCGGAAGAUGUAACGGGGCUAAACCAUGCACCGAAGCUGCGGCAGCGANNGUUGGGUAGGGGAGCGUUCUGUAAGCCUGUGAAGGUGGCCUGUGAGGGUUGCUGGAGGUAUCAGAAGUGCGAAUGCUGACAUAAGUAACGAUAAAGCGGGUGAAAAGCCCGCUCGCCGGAAGACCAAGGGUUCCUGUCCAACGUUAAUCGGGGCAGGGUGAGUCGACCCCUAAGGCGAGGCCGAAAGGCGUAGUCGAUGGGAAACGGGUUAAUAUUCCCGUACUUGGUGUUACUGCGAAGGGGGGACGGAGAAGGCUAUGUUGGCCGGGCGACGGUUGUCCCGGUUUAAGCGUGUAGGUGUGUGUUCCAGGUAAAUCCGGUUCACUUUAACACUGAGGCGUGACGACGAGGCACUACGGUGCUGAAGCAACAAAUGCCCUGCUUCCAGGAAAAGCCUCUAAGCAUCAGGUAACAUCAAAUCGUACCCCAAACCGACACAGGUGGUCAGGUAGAGAAUACCAAGGCGCUUGAGAGAACUCGGGUGAAGGAACUAGGCAAAAUGGUGCCGUAACUUCGGGAGAAGGCACGCUGACACGUAGGUGAAGUGAUUUACUCAUGGAGCUGAAGUCAGUCGAAGAUACCAGCUGGCUGCAACUGUUUAUUAAAAACACAGCACUGUGCAAACACGAAAGUGGACGUAUACGGUGUGACGCCUGCCCGGUGCCGGAAGGUUAAUUGAUGGGGUCAGCGCAAGCGAAGCUCCUGAUCGAAGCCCCGGUAAACGGCGGCCGUAACUAUAACGGUCCUAAGGUAGCGAAAUUCCUUGUCGGGUAAGUUCCGACCUGCACGAAUGGCGUAAUGAUGGCCAGGCUGUCUCCACCCGAGACUCAGUGAAAUUGAACUCGCUGUGAAGAUGCAGUGUACCCGCGGCAAGACGGAAAGACCCCGUGAACCUUUACUAUAGCUUGACACUGAACAUUGAGCCUUGAUGUGUAGGAUAGGUGGGAGGCUUUGAAGCGUGGACGCCAGUCUGCGUGGAGCCGACCUUGAAAUACCACCCUUUAAUGUUUGAUGUUCUAACGUGGACCCGUGAUCCGGGUUGCGGACAGUGUCUGGUGGGUAGUUUGACUGGGGCGGUCUCCUCCUAAAGAGUAACGGAGGAGCACGAAGGUUGGCUAAUCCUGGUCGGACAUCAGGAGGUUAGUGCAAUGGCAUAAGCCAGCUUGACUGCGAGCGUGACGGCGCGAGCAGGUGCGAAAGCAGGUCAUAGUGAUCCGGUGGUUCUGAAUGGAAGGGCCAUCGCUCAACGGAUAAAAGGUACUCCGGGGAUAACAGGCUGAUACCGCCCAAGAGUUCAUAUCGACGGCGGUGUUUGGCACCUCGAUGUCGGCUCAUCACAUCCUGGGGCUGAAGUAGGUCCCAAGGGUAUGGCUGUUCGCCAUUUAAAGUGGUACGCGAGCUGGGUUUAGAACGUCGUGAGACAGUUCGGUCCCUAUCUGCCGUGGGCGCUGGAGAACUGAGGGGGGCUGCUCCUAGUACGAGAGGACCGGAGUGGACGCAUCACUGGUGUUCGGGUUGUCAUGCCAAUGGCACUGCCCGGUAGCUAAAUGCGGAAGAGAUAAGUGCUGAAAGCAUCUAAGCACGAAACUUGCCCCGAGAUGAGUUCUCCCUGAGACUUAGAGUCUCCUGAAGGAACGUU